rnacentral:rRNA from 1 species
AUGUCAGAUUCGUGGACCGGCCCUUCUCGGAUGAGCAUUAUAAACUUUAUGGUGUUCUCCAACAGGCGUAUGUAUUUCCACAAAUCUGUUAAUGCCACUGGACACAUGCAAAACUCUAAGUUUGUUUAUGAGCACAUUAAAGAAGUGGUCGAAGAGAUAGGGCAGGAACAUGUUGUCCAGCUUGUGACCGACAAUGGCUCUAACUUCAAGAAAGCAUGUCUUGAUCUUGUCGUCGAUUUCCCACACAUCACAUGGCAGCCAUGUGCGGCUCACACAAUUAACCUCAUGUUAAAGGAGAUGGGAUGUUUUCCUGAGAUUAAUACAAUGGUCAACAGUUGUAAGAGAAUCUGUAGAUUCAUGUACAAUCAUUCAACUUUGCAUGCUGAAAUGCAGAAGCACAUAGGUGGAGAGUUGGUGUGA